UUGGCUCAGGAUGAACGCUGGCGGCAGGCUUAACACAUGCAAGUCGAGGGGCAGCGCGGAGGUAGCAAUACCUUUGGCGGCGACCGGCGCACUGGUGAGUAACACGUAUGCGACCUGCCCCGGACAGGGGGAUAAACCCGGGAAACUGGGUCUAAUACCCCAUAUGUGCCUUGGAUGCAUGUCCUAGGCAUGAAAGAUCCGUCGGUCCGGGAUGGGCAUGCGGCGCAUUAGCUUGUUGGCGGGGUAACGGCCCACCAAGGCGACGAUGCGUAGGGGUUCUGAGAGGAAGGUCCCCCACACUGGUACUGAGACACGGACCAGACUCCUACGGGAGGCAGCAGUGGGGAAUUA
rnacentral:rRNA from 1 species